rnacentral:rRNA from 1 species
AGAGUUUGAUCCUGGCUCAGGAUGAACGCUGGCGGUCUGCUUAACACAUGCAAGUCGAACGGGACUCUUCGGAGUUCAGUGGCGGACGGGUGAGUAACGCGUGAGAAUCUGGCUUCAGGUUCGGGACAACAGUUGGAAACGGCUGCUAAUACCGGAUGUGCCUUAUGGUGAAAGAUUUAUCACCUGAAGAUGAGCUCGCGUCUGAUUAGCUAGUAGGUGUGGUAAGAGCGCACCUAGGCGACGAUCAGUAGCUGGUCUGAGAGGAUGAUCAGCCACACUGGGACUGAGACACGGCCUAGACUCCUACGGGAGGCAGCAGUGGGGAAUUUUCCGCAAUGGGCGAAAGCCUGACGGAGCAAUACCGCGUGAGGGAGGAAGGCUCUUGGGUUGUAAACCUCUUUUCUCAGGGAAGAAUGAUGACGGUACCUGAGGAAUCAGCAUCGGCUAACUCCGUGCCAGCAGCCGCGGUAAGACGGAGGAUGCAAGCGUUAUCCGGAAUGAUUGGGCGUAAAGCGUCCGCAGGUGGCAGUUCAAGUCUGCUGUCAAAGACCGGGGCUUAACUUCGGAAAGGCAGUGGAAACUGAACAGCUAGAGUAUGGUAGGGGCAGAGGGAAUUCCUGGUGUAGCGGUGAAAUGCGUAGAGAUCAGGAAGAACAUCGGUGGCGAAGGCGCUCUGCUGGACCAUAACUGACACUCAGGGACGAAAGCUAGGGGAGCGAAUGGGAUUAGAUACCCCCGUAGUCC